rnacentral:rRNA from 1 species
AACGAACGCUGGCGGCAUGCCUAACACAUGCAAGUCGAACGAAGUCUUCGGACUUAGUGGCGCACGGGUGCGUAACGCGUGGGAAUCUGCCCUUGGGUGCGGAAUAACUUCUCGAAAGGGAUGCUAAUACCGCAUAAUGUCGUAAGACCAAAAGAUUUAUCGCCCAAGGAUGAGCCCGCGUAAGAUUAGCUAGUUGGUGGGGUAAAAGCCUACCAAGGCGACGAUCUUUAGCUGGUCUGAGAGGAUGAUCAGCCACACUGGGACUGAGACACGGCCCAGACUCCUACGGGAGGCAACAGUGGGGAAUAUUGGACAAUGGGCGAAAGCCUGAUCCAGCAAUGCCGCGUGAGUGAUGAAGGCCCUAGGGUUGUAAAGCUCUUUACCAGGGAUGAUAAUGACAGUACCUGGAGAAUAAGACUCCGGCUAACUCCGUGCCAGCAGCCGCGGUAAU